rnacentral:lncRNA from 1 species
UGUGUUUCUGUGUGCAGGUCAUUCGUACGCUGGACCCCAAACAGAAUCAGGGUUCUGCUCCUGAGGUUCAGGCUCUGAAGAACCAGCUGCAGGAGCGAGAGAGGAUGAUGCACACACUCGAGAAGGAGUAUGACAAGACGAAGACUCAGAGAGACCAGGAGGAGAAACUCAUCGUAUCUGCCUGGUACAACAUGGGGAUGGCGCUGCAGAAGAAGGCGGCUGAGGACCGGCUGGCCAGCACGGGUUCGGGUCAGUCUUUCUUGGCGCGGCAGAGACAGGCCACCAGCACCCGCCGGGUGUAUCCGGGCCACGUGCAGCCCACCGCAGCCAGGUAGAGCGUCGCCACGGCAACCCUCGCCGCAGCAAAUCAGGACGCAUGAGCGGCAGGGGGCGGGGCUGCAUGCCAUCAGGGGCGGGGCUGCUGAUGUCAGGGGGCGGGGCUGCAUGACUGCGUGUGAUUUGAGUUCAUGCUGCUGAAUUUAACCCAUCGCUGCACACUAACUAACCCAGAUUGCUAACCGCUGUCCUCCCGAUCAGAAGUGGGCGGGGCCGGUGCCUGUCAAUCAUGCUGUCGGCGAGAGCUCGGCCGCCGGACGCUUACGCUUUAAAGACGGAUGAACUCCGACAUGUUUUCAUUUUAGUCGCAUCAUUGUGGAGUGAUCAGUAUUUUCUGUAGUCUAUGCUCAUCAUACCUUCAGCGUCUGGAUGCUGGACGUGUUUCAGUAGAAUCAGUGUGAGAAUGACAGUGUUGCAUCCGCUCCUUCUGUUUGUGUUAAUGCUUUGAUGAUGAUGAUGAUGAUGAUUCUGACACAAUGUUACAAACCACAGCAGUACAUAUUCUGACAUUUAAACCUGCUCUGCUGCUUCUCUUCUUCAGCUGUUACUAAGUAUUCAUGUAAUAACGCACAGCGAUUGCCGGACGGUAUAUAUUUUACUCCUGCAGUGUUCUUGUGUGGGUUUUAACAGGCGAUCGAAUGUGUUUCUCAUGAGUUCAGAGGUCAAACACAACCGUCCAUGAGCAGAGAAACACCUGAUCGAUACUUCAGUCGUGAUCUGUGCGAUUGAACAUUCGUCUGAAGUAGCAAAUAUUCGUUCCAUUUGCCAAGUUUUAUAUUGCUUGUAUACAAUAUGUACAUACUGUAUGUGUGUGCGGCCUGCGGAAGUGGGUAGAUGCGUUUCAUAAUGUGUCUCCAUUCACACUCUGUUGAUGAAUCUGUGCUUCCAACGCUGCAAGACUGUACAGUUGUUAUUCAAGUUGUAAAUAAAGCUUGUAAAAAACAUUCAUGUGUCAAAAUCACGGCUGUUCUUUCUUUGAUUUGCUGUAGCAUCUAACAUUUGCAGAGAAAAUCAGUGUAAAUGAAUCCACAACUGCACAAUCGUUCUUCCUGAAAUCAUCUCAGGAGGCUUCAUUUCAACAACUGAGGCCUGUUUCGUGAAGAGCGUGAAGAAAAGCAGGGAUUAAAGUCCAAAACCUGACUUCAAAUAACCAAUAUAUAUACAUAUACAUAAAUUAAUCGGGACUAAAGCGGUUCCAUAAACAACACGCAGUCUCACUAAUCACACAUAUAUCCAUUUUGCUGUCAGGAGUGAGCAGACGGAGCUCUUCUAUCAGCGUUUGUCAGUUUACACAGCUGAAGGGCGUGUAAUGACUCCAGAUCCUCCAGUCAAUCUUACAGCUUUGCUUUUAUUUCAUGUAUUAAGGUAAGAAGUCGUUUGUCUCUUCAUUGUCAGAGUUGAUUAAUCCACCGAAUCUCCGCUGGACGUUCAGUUCAUGUGAUAUUUGAUCAAGUACGUUUGUUAAUCUUAAUCUCUGUGUUUCUGCAGGUGUUUCAUUACUGAUGAAGCAUCAGGUCUGACGUGUUCUCAUAUUCCUGUGCGGUUUACGAGAUCAGGGUUAGUUCAUGUCUGUGUGACUUCUGUGGAGAACUAAAAGAGUCCUAAUGCAGCUCUGGACAGAAACCAUCACAGUGACCACGACUGACCGAGACAUCAUGACAGUCGUCCGCAUCAAUCACGUGUGUUAUAUUCCAAACCUUCUGAACUCAUGCCGUUCUGUGAGUGAGGAGCAGAAACUGCUUCAUGAUGAACCUUUAUGUCUAAAUGGUUCCCUAAAGAACCUUUAACCUCUGAAGAACCUUCCGGUUUCACAAAAGCUUCUUCGUGGUGAAGGAAGGUUCUUCAGAUUAUAAAAAGGUGAGAAAGAGAUGGUUCUUUGUGAAACCAAAAACGGCUCUUCUUGGCAUCGCUGUGAAGAUCUGGUUUUAUUGACAGGACAGGAGGGACGCUGUGGCGUCUGAAGUUACUCAUUUCUGUUUCUCUCGUCGAGGCUCUGGAUCACAGAGACUGGUCAGAGACUGGUCAGAACAGAAACAUUAGCCAAAGUGUUUCACAGGCGUCUUUAACCCUCCUCGCUCUGAUCCGGCCCAGAACUGAUGUCAUUUCAAAAACACUUCCAACAAAUUAGUGCCAUCACUCAAAGACGAUUAUUCUGAUCGGCCGAGCCUCUGGAAAACUGGCCUCACAAUGUGUGCAUUUAUGAAACUCUUGGAUUUUAAUUGUAAAUGACCUGAAGCCGGCGACGGCACAAAGCACUUAUUGACGAUCUCUAGCGCGGGUUCGACUUCACUCCUGACGCUUUAAUUAAAAACACAGCUGAGAGAUGCCGGACCCAUGUCCUGAACACCAGACCCGCUUGAUUUCACUCCAGACCGCACAGCUUCACUCUUACAAACAAAGGUGCUUCACCAUGCCAUAGAAGAACCUUUUAUGUCUAAAUGGUUCGAUAAAGAAACCUUUAACUUCUGAAGGUGCUUUGUGAAAGAAGGUUCUUCAGAUUAUAAAACGGUAAAACCAACAAUGGUUCUUGUAUGGCCUCACAGUGAAGAAGGUUUAUGUUUAAGGGUGUUCUCUGUUUUCAGCUGGAUUUGACCAGCAGCGUCUGUUUCAGAUCAUCAGAUCACGAGCGCAGUGGAGAUCAGUCUGAAAGAGUUAAACACAGAUCUGUGGCUUAUGAUGAUGAAGGUGAUGAUGACAUUUUCUAUAAAACUGCUUUCAUUAUAAAAAGCUCUGUACAAAUCCUCCUGACUUUAAGAGUCUUGUGACAUCCAUAUCAGACUUUAUUCCCAGGAAACAAGCAUAAAGAUGAAAAAGUAUAUACUGUACUCACCGACCGACAAAGAGAUGAAAGGCAGGAGUCUUCUCCAACAUCACAGUGUUCCAGCAGAUGAGAAGAGACUCUAAUGAUGUGUGUUAAACCUGCGCUGAGUACAGUGUUGGGGAAGGUUCAAAGUAAUGCAUUACAAUAUUGAGACUAAUUGCAGUACUUGUGGAAAGUAAUGCAUACUUUUUGUCACCUGAGCUGGUCUUGUAUGUUUAGUUUUAACAACAAAUAACCCCAAAAGUUAUAUUUUUGGCGACUGUAAUCCCUUUGACAGCAAAAGUGAGAUGAACGCUCCUGGGUCUGAAGGAAGCGUCUCUGUCCUGAUUUCUCUCCACACGAGGACAGGAGAGCCGUCAGUCGAUACACACAGAACUGAGGAACUGCGCUUAACUCUGAUAUUUAUUUAAAAGUGAUGUUACUUCUGAUUGUAAAGCGUUACUCCAACACUGAAUACUGCGUGUGUCCAGCACUAGAUUCUGGGAAGUCUUUCUUGUGUUCAGUGUUGGGAGGAACUAGUUACAUGAAACGGAAUUAUGUAAUUUAAUUACAAAAUAAAUGUCACUGUAAUCUGUUACAGUUACUGAGAAGAAAAAAAGUGUAAUUAGCUACUUAUGAAAAUGUUAACGAUUGCAAAGGAGUCACAUCUGAAUGUUUUCACACACAUACUGUACAGAUUUGAUUGAUUUCUUUCCCAGAUUGCAUCAACUGCUCUAAAAUAUGAGACACUAAGGUUUAGGAGUUUAGGACACAUGCUUAUUUGAGAACUGUUUCAUUUCCUAUUUGGGUUUAUGUACUUAAACUUAUGAACUUGUUAACCCUGCCUGCUUUAAAUGUUUUAAAAUGAUUGACAGUAGAAAUCAGUAGUUUGAAAUUUAGAAAAGUAAGCAAAAAGUAAUCAAAUGUAAUCAGUUACAUUACUUUAAUGAAGUAUUUG